rnacentral:rRNA from 1 species
GCUAAAUAGCUAGCUCAACUAUAAAAAUUACACCAAACAAUUAAUAUAUUUUACUUAACCCAUCAACUAAUAAUUAAAUCAUUUUCCUGCCUGAGUACGGGCGACAGAAAAGGCGCUAGAAGCAAUAGAACCAGUACCGCAAGGGAAAGCUGAAAGAGAAAUGAAACAAACCAUUUAAGCCCUAAAAAGCAGAGAUUUAACCUCGUACCUUUUGCAUCAUGAUUUAGCCAGAACCUUAGAGCAAAGAGAAACUAUAGUUCUUAACCCCGAAACCAAGUGAGCUACCCCGAGACAGCCUAUAUUCAGGGCCAACCCGUCUCUGUGGCAAAAGAGUGGGAAGAUCUCCGGGUAGGGGUGAUAGACCUAUCGAACUUGGUAAUAGCUGGUUGCCUAAGAAAUGGAUUUAAGUUCAGCCUUGUAUCUCCCCCCACCCACGCACAUCAAUAAUUUUAAGGGUUGGAGAAAAUUACAAGAGUUAGUCAAAGGGGGUACAGCCCCUUUGAACCAGGACACAACCUGACCAGGAGGUUAAGAGUCAUACUAUUCAAGAUAUAUAGCUUUAGUGGGCUUAAAAGCAGCCACCUAUUUAGAAAGCGUUAAAGCUCGGGCAACUUAAUAAUUUAUUAUUCUGAUAUAUAACCCCAAAACCCCUAUUAAUAUUAGGCCUUUCCAUGCUCCCAUGGAAGAGAUACUGCUAAAAUGAGUAACAAGAAGACAAGUUCUUCUCCCCUGCCCACGCAUAAAUUAGAUCGGACCCACCACUAAUAACUAACGAACCCAACAAAAGAGAGAAAAGUGGUUACUUAAAAAACCAGGAAAACCCCACACAAAUAAAUCGUUAAACCAACACCGGAGGGCUUAAAGGAAAGAUUAAAAGAAAAGGAAGGAACUCGGCAAACACAAGCCUCGCCUGUUUACCAAAAACAUCGCCUCCUGCAAAAAUCAAAGUAUAUGAGGUCCUACCUGCCCAGUGACUUAGUUAAACGGCCGCGGUAUUUUGACCGUGCAAAGGUAGCGCAAUCACUUGUCUUUUAAAUAAAGACCUGUAUGAAUGGUGAAACGAGGGCUUAACUGUCUCCCUUUUCUGAUCAGUGAAAUUGAUCUACCCGUGCAGAAGCGGGUAUAAAUAUACAAGACGAGAAGACCCUAUGGAGCUUUAGACACACAAUCACCUAUGUAAAACCCCCUUAAUAAAAAGACAAAACAAGAUAGUAACUGAUUGAUGUCUUCGGUUGGGGCGACCAUGGGGGAAAACAAAUCCCCCACGUGGACUGGGAAAUUCCUAAAACCAAGAGGAACACCUCUAAGUCACAGAACUUCUGACCUAAAGAUCCGGCACUUAGCCGAUCAACGGAUCAAGUUACCCUAGGGAUAACAGCGCAAUCCCCUUCAAGAGUCCUUAUCGACAAGGGGGUUUACGACCUCGAUGUUGGAUCAGGACAUCCUAAUGGUGCAGCCGCUAUUAAGGGUUCGUUUGUUCAACGAUUAAAGUCCUACGUGAUCUGAGUUCAGACCGGAGCAAUCCAGGUCAGUUUCUAUCUGUAAAGUUAUACCCCCUAGUACGAAAGGAUCGGGGGUAUGGGGCCCCCAUUAACAAUACGCCCUACUUCUACUUAAUGACACCAACUUAAUUAAAUAAAGAAGAACAUUAAACACCUAAAAACAUAUAGG